rnacentral:rRNA from 1 species
GACAGAGGGUGCAAACGUUGUUCGGAAUUACUGGGCGUAAAGCGCGUGUAGGCGGCCAUGCAAGUCGGAUGUGAAAGCCCUCGGCUCAACCGGGGAAGUGCACUCGAAACUGCAAGGCUAGAGUCUCGGAGAGGAUCGUGGAAUUCUCGGUGUAGAGGUGAAAUUCGUAGAUAUUAGGAAGAACACCAGUGGCGAAGGCGGCUCACUGGCCCGGUACUGACGCUGAGGCGCGAAAGCGUGGGGAGCAAACAGG